AAGUCGUAACAAGGUCUCCGUUGGUGAACCAGCGGAGGGAUCAUUACAGAGUUAAUAAAACUCCAACCUAUGUGAAAUUACCAAUGUUGCCUCGGCGGGCUUACCCUGUAGCAAACUCGGUUUACCCUGUAGCUACCCUGUGGACCCGCCGGUGGACAAACCAAACUCUGUUAUUAAAAUAGCUUCUGAGCGUCUUAUUUAAUAAGUCAAAA
rnacentral:misc_RNA from 1 species